rnacentral:lncRNA from 1 species
GUAAAAACGUCUUUGAUGUGAUAUCUCUGUGCUCCAACCCUUUGCCUUGCUCUCCACAGAAAUUGUCUCCGCUGGGCUCCAUGCAAAAUGGAAACACAAGAAAUCCUGGCUGGGCUUGGAACUUUGAGUGCUGACUUCCAGGUGCUGAGAUUACAGUAAGAUCCCUUGCAGAUGAAAGGUGCAGUGUUCAAAAGCUGAGAGACUGGAGAAUGUACAGAAAAGCCCUUUCUGUAUCUGAGAAUUUGGACUGCCUUUCCCUGUGUCUCAGUUCUUCAGCAGCAGGGAAUAAUCUUAAUGAUUCUGCACUAAUGAAGAAUUUUGAGAUGUGAAUACAUUUUCUUUUCCAUGUGAUGGUGGCAUUGUUCAACAUCUUUGCUGAUGACAUGGACAGUGGGAUUGAGGGAUUCUCAGCAAGUUCCCCGCUGACACCGAGCCAUGUGGUGCGGUCGACACGCUGAGGGAAGGGAUGUGCCGUCCAGAGGGACCUGGACAGGCUGCAGAGGUGGGACCCAGUGAACUUUACGGAGUUCAACAAGGCCAAGUGCAAGGUCCUGAGCACAGGUCGGGG